rnacentral:antisense_RNA from 1 species
GUGGCGGUGUGCGCCCACUGGGCGUCCUCGUCCAGCAGGGCGUGCUCUCCGAACCGUUCACCAUCGGCGAGUACGUCAAGGGCGACCUCGUCGCCGUACCUGCCGACGGACGUCUGGCCGAUGCGGCCGUGCGCGAUCAGGUAGAGCCGGUCCGCCGGCGCACCGCGCUCCACCAGCGUCUCGCCGGGCCGGAACUCGCGUUGGACGCACCGCUCGGCGAGCGCCGUCAGCACCUCCACGUCGUCGAAGCCGCGCAGCAGAGCCAGUUCACCGAGCUCUCGGGGGAUCACCCGGACAUCGGCACCGUCCUGAAUGAACUCCACGCACCCGUCGCCGACGGUGUAGUUCAGACGACGGUUCACCCGGUAGUGCCCGCCCUUGGCCUCCACCCAGGGGAGCAUCCGCAGCAGCCAGCGGGAGGUGAUCUCCUGCAUCUGCGGGGCGGACUUGGUGGUGUGGGUGAGGUUGCGGGCAGCCGCUGUACCCAGGCUGGAUUGCGGGGGCAGCUCCA